rnacentral:rRNA from 1 species
GGCCCUUCGGGGUACACGAGCGGCGAACGGGUGAGUAACACGUGGGUGAUCUGCCUCGUACUCUGGGAUAAGCCUGGGAAACUGGGUCUAAUACCGGAUAUGACCACGAAUCGCAUGGUUUGUGGUGGAAAGAUUUAUCGGUGCGAGAUGGGCCCGCGGCCUAUCAGCUUGUUGGUGGGGUAAUGGCCUACCAAGGCGACGACGGGUAGCCGACCUGAGAGGGUGACCGGCCACACUGGGACUGAGACACGGCCCAGACUCCUACGGGAGGCAGCAGUGGGGAAUAUUGCACAAUGGGCGAAAGCCUGAUGCAGCGACGCCGCGUGAGGGAUGACGGCCUUCGGGUUGUAAACCUCUUUCGACAGGGACGAAGCGUAAGUGACGGUACCUGUAGAAGAAGCACCGGCCAACUACGUGCCAGCAGCCGCGGUAAUACGUAGGGUGCGAGCGUUGUCCGGAAUUACUGGGCGUAAAGAGCUUGUAGGCGGUUCGUCGCGUCGAUUGUGAAAACUUGCAGCUCAACUGCAAGCUUGCAGUCGAUACGGGCGGACUAGAGUACUUCAGGGGAGACUGGAAUUCCUGGUGUAGCGGUGAAAUGCGCAGAUAUCAGGAGGAACACCGGUGGCGAAGGCGGGUCUCUGGGAAGUAACUGACGCUGAGAAGCGAAGUG